AGUGAACGCUGGCGGUAGGCCUAACACAUGCAAGUCGAACGGCAGCACAGUAAGAGCUUGCUCUUACGGGUGGCGAGUGGCGGACGGGUGAGGAAUACAUCGGAAUCUACUUUUUCGUGGGGGAUAACGUAGGGAAACUUACGCUAAUACCGCAUACGACCUAUGGUUGAAAGCAGGGGAUCUUCGGACCUUGCGCGAUUGAAUGAGCCGAUGUCGGAUUAGCUAGUUGGCGGGGUAAAGGCCCACCAAGGCGACGAUCCGUAGCUGGUCUGAGAGGAUGAUCAGCCACACUGGAACUGAGACACGGUCCAGACUCCUACGGGAGGCAGCAGUGGGGAAUAUUGGACAAUGGGCGCAAGCCUGAUCCAGCCAUACCGCGUGGGUGAAGAAGGCCUUCGGGUUGUAAAGCCCUUUUGUUGGGAAAGAAAAGCAGCAGGUUAAUACCCCGCUGUUCUGACGGUACCCAAAGAAUAAGCACCGGCUAACUUCGUG
rnacentral:rRNA from 1 species